GCCCUUAGAGUUUGAUCCUGGCUCAGAUUGAACGCUGGCGGCAUGCCUUACACAUGCAAGUCGAACGGUAACAGGUCUUCGGAUGCUGACGAGUGGCGAACGGGUGAGUAAUACAUCGGAACGUGCCCGAUCGUGGGGGAUAACGAGGCGAAAGCUUUGCUAAUACCGCAUACGAUCUACGGAUGAAAGCGGGGGAUCUUCGGACCUCGCGCGGGCGGAGCGGCCGAUGGCAGAUUAGGUAGUUGGUGGGAUAAAAGCUUACCAAGCCGACGAUCUGUAGCUGGUCUGAGAGGAUGAUCAGCCACACUGGGACUGAGACACGGCCCAGACUCCUACGGGAGGCAGCAGUGGGGAAUUUUGGACAAUGGGCGAAAGCCUGAUCCAGCCAUGCCGCGUGCAGGAUGAAGGCCUUCGGGUUGUAAACUGCUUUUGUACGGAACGAAAAGCCUCUUUCUAAUAAAGAGGGGUCAUGACGGUACCGUAAGAAUAAGCACCGGCUAACUACGUGCCAGCAGCCGCGGUAAUACGUAGGGUGCAAGCGUUAAUCGGAAUUACUGGGCGUAAAGCGUGCGCAGGCGGUUUUGUAAGAC
rnacentral:rRNA from 1 species